rnacentral:misc_RNA from 1 species
GUCAUUAUCAACCAUCAAGCCUGGCUUGUCGUUGGACUCUGGUCGUUCAAAAAAGACCGGUCCGAAAGAUAAUGGACGGGACCUGUCGGCCCUAGAUGCAACGAGCUUCACAGCACGCAUCGAAAGGUCGUUGGCCCCGCCUUUAAACCCCAUUUUCUCAGGUUGACCUCGGAUCAGGUAGGAAUACCCGCUGAACUUAA